rnacentral:ncRNA from 1 species
UUAGCUAUUUUAGAUAAGGUUGUAUUCAUGAAUUCAUGGAUGCAAACCUAAACGUUUGUAUCUAUGAUGGCUAGGGAAAUUUAAGAUGCGAAGUUGUCUUAUCCGCCACAUAGAUGAAAAUCUAUAGUGGCUUUUUAU